UGGGGGUGUCGUGUUUCUGACUGAGAUAGAAAGUGGGUAGAGGUUUCAAGGCUUUAUUUAUAAGCCACGAUAUAGGAGUAAACUGUAAAACUUCUGUGUCACGGUUUGCAUUAUCUAUUUAUUUUCCGUUUUAGUUUUAUUUUAUUUUAUCUAGUCAAUGAUUUGUUCAUCCUUAAUUUAUCCUUUUAUCGUUUAGAGAAAAAUUUCUAUCAAACUAUUUUGAUAACUCUUUCUUUGUCAACCAAAAAGCAUAAAAUAUUGAAUUUUCUCUAUACAUAAGAAUAUAUAUUAAUCAUGUGAUAAGGAAUUUAAUACAAGAGCGAGGUUUUUUUUUUUUUUUUUUUUUUUUUUGGAAAAAAUUUUAGAGGGAGAUUGGCUACUCUCACUACCAAUGCUAGGACAGACCAUAACCUCGAGCCAGAAAGACUUAUGCAUGACACCCAACUGUCCACUGCCAGCUGUAUGAAUUUAUCUAGAAAAUCAUAAAUCGCGCACCAAUGAUGAGUGUUGGCAGUGGGACUCGAACACUAGUGGGGCUACACAGUACAGAGAC
rnacentral:lncRNA from 1 species